UGCCAGCCGCCGCGGUAAUACGGAGGGCGCAAGCGUUGUUCGGAAUUAUUGGGCGUAAAGCGCGUGUAGGCGGUUCGUUAAGUCUGAUGUGAAAGCCCCGGGCUCAACCUGGGAUGGUCAUUUAGAACUGGCAGACUAGAGUCUUGGAGAGGUAAGCGGAAUUCCUAGUGUAGCGGUGAAAUGCGUAGAUAUUAGGAGGAACACCAGUGGCGAAGGCGGCUUACUGGGCUGUAACUGACACUGAGGCUCGAAAGCGUGGGGAGCAAACAGGAUUAGAUA
rnacentral:rRNA from 1 species